rnacentral:rRNA from 1 species
AGAGUUUGAUCCUGGCUCAGGACGACGCUGGCGGCGUGCUUAACACAUGCAAGUCGACGGAAAGGCUCCAGCUUGCUGGAGUGCUCGAGUGGCGAACGGGUGAGUAACACGUGGGCAAUCUGCCCUGCACUCUGGGAUAAGCCUGGGAAACUGGGUCUAAUACCGGAUAGGACCUUUCUCCUCAUGGGGUUUGGUGGAAAGUUUUUCGGUGCAGGAUGAGCCCGCGGCCUAUCAGCUUGUUGGUGGGGUAAUGGCCUACCAAGGCGACGACGGGUAGCCGGCCUGAGAGGGUGAUCGGCCACAUUGGGACUGAGAUACGGCCCAGACUCCUACGGGAGGCAGCAGUGGGGAAUAUUGCACAAUGGGCGAAAGCCUGAUGCAGCGACGCCGCGUGAGGGAUGACGGCCUUCGGGUUGUAAACCUCUUUCAGUAGGGACGAAGCGCAAGUGACGGUACCUGCAGAAGAAGCACCGGCUAACUACGUG